AUCAGCUGUUAUUAUCUCACGCAACUCGCGGGCGGAAGCAGCGCGUGCGCCUGGUGCCUAUCCGGGACUCGGAGCUGGACUCAGGCUGUCUGCAUAGAGGACCGUGGUGGGAUUAGAGCGCAGAGCGGCCCGGGAUGGGCUCAGAGCGGCGUUAGUGCGCGCCCCUGCCCGCAGAGCCCGGCCCGCCCCCCGGGGGGAUGUUAGCGGCGGGUCCGAUGGACGGGUCCCGUCAGAGCGCCUUCCUCCUCAGCACGCCCCCCCUGGCUGCUCUGCAUAGCAUGACCGAGAUGAAGACCCCGCUGUACCCGGCCUACCCGCUCUCCUCCGGUGGCCCCGCCUCCUCUACCUCACCGGCUACCACCUCCCCGAACCCGGGCGGCAUGGCCGCAGCCUCCCCGGGCAUCAAGAGCUCCACCGGCCCGUCCUCCGGGCUCGGCUCCCCGCAACAGUGCUCCUCUGCCACCCCGCACGGAAUUAACGACAUCCUGAACCGGCCCUGCGCCACCUCCGCCGGGGCCUCCGCCUCCUCCUCCGCGGGGAUCCUGACGGGUCUGCCCAGGUUCAGCAGCCUCAGCCCGCCGCCUCCCCCCGGGCUCUACUUCAGCCCCUCCGCGGCCGCCGUGGCCGUGGCCCGGUACCCGAAGCCCCUGGCGGACCUGCCAGGCAGGACGCCCAUCUUCUGGCCGGGGGUGAUGCAGAGCCCCCACUGGAGGGACGCUAGGUUCGCGUGCUCGCCCCAUCAGAGCUCUGUCUUAUUGGACAAAGACGGCAAACGGAAGCACACGCGGCCCACGUUCUCCGGGCAGCAGAUCUUCGCCCUGGAAAAAACUUUCGAACAAACGAAAUAUCUGGCGGGCCCCGAGAGAGCCCGGCUGGCCUACUCCCUGGGCAUGACCGAGAGCCAGGUCAAGGUGUGGUUCCAGAACCGGAGGACGAAGUGGCGGAAGAAGCACGCGGCAGAGAUGGCCUCCGCCAAGAAGAAGCAGGACUCUGAGACGGAGCGGCUCAAGGGCACUUCGGACAACGAAGACGAGGACGACGAGUACAACAAGCCGCUGGACCCGAACUCCGACGACGAGAAAAUCACACAGCUGCUCAAGAAACACAAGCCCGCGAGCUCCGCGCUGCUGUUGCACGCGCCCGACACGGACAGCUCCUAACCGGACCGGAAGUCCGAACUCAGCUGAAGUCACGUGAGCUUACCUGAACGACAGACUGGUUUUUACCUGCGGGCCGGAGCGGACUGUAAAUAUGACUGAACGGCUCUCAUCCUUCCAUUUGUGGGGUUCUGCUCGGGCUACUGCGAGGCUCAGAGGGACCCAGAGUCACAUUUCAGGCCCCAGAGGAGCUUCAUUCGGCCCUGACUCGGACCUGUGGCACUUCAGGCCUUCACUGAGCAUCUGAGGCCCCACAGGGGUCCAGCCCCUCGUGUUUGGCACCUCUGUGGAGCUUCUCAACAGGAAGAAAAAUGUUUAAUUUUUAAUGGACCAAAUGAGACGAAACAAAAGAGAAAAUAAAAGAUUGAAAUGUAAAAAAAUUAUUGAGUAUUUGUAAUAAAGCUGGAAGAACCAACCAAUCGAUUGAUUUAUUGAUUAGUUUGCAGCUGUUUAGUGAUGAAUGAUUUUAUGUUUCAUGCAGUUUUUUUCCCCUGUUAGAAGAUCAUCUUUUAACUUUUUGUUGUACAAACACGACACAUGAGGAGAAAUCAGUCAGCAAUCUGAUGGACGGGGAAGCUGCCGGCCUUCUCACACCUUCACAUCGACCCCAGCUGCUGUCAGGGGCUCAUCCUCCUCCUUCAUCCUCCAUCAUCACAGCCAGAGACACUUUUAAUGGUUUUAAUGGUUUUUCUGGUUGGCGUCAUAGAGGACGAGGCUUCGAGACAUUUCCAUGGAUGAAGAAGCUGCCGGAGGCUCAAAUGUAUUUUCCUCAGCAGAUGUUUGGAUUUCCUGAACACAGUUCCUCAUCUUCAUCCGUCAUCAUCGAGCUUUCCUCCUGAAGCUCGCUGCAAGCCAACCUUUCUUCAAAAAAUUCCAGAAAUUUUAUAUUAAAACCGAUAACAAAUAAAAUAAAAUAAUUUUGUUUGUUUUUGCAUCUGGACAGAGAUGGAAGAGACUCGUCAGGAAUCAUGAAAUAAAUAUAAACAAAAAACUCCUCUGUGCUGAAACUUGUUCUGUAUUCAAAGACAGCUUGUCUGUGUACAUAGUCAGAUUACUGCUGUAACAUGUAACUGAGCCGCUCUGGAUUUUUCUCUGAUCUGUGAUCGUUUCAUUCAUUAACUCCUUACAUGGUUUCCUGCAGGAUGUGAAGGAUUUCCUCCUUUUUCAUUGGCUGUUUCAGAUCUCUGCUGGCUGCAUCAACAUCAGCUUCUGAAACAUGACUUUUACAGGCAGAUCUGAAAUCUACACUCUCACAUGUUACUGCACUUUAAACUUAAUCUAACAGGAACGAAGAGCAACAAGGCACUCACUUCCAGCAGCUGCUACAUCAGCAAUUUAAAACAAUUAACAUAAUUUUUUU